CAGCAGCAGAAAUAAUCCUUCAUGUCUGUAAAAUUACCCAUGAGCCUUUGCAAACAGAGAUCUGAACCGAGAGCCAAAGACUGAGUGACACCUGGCUCAACUUCUGUCUCGUUUGCUCUGUAAAACUGGAUGUAUGGCAAGCAGUUUUACUAUAUAAUGUGAACCCCCUCAGAAUCACGUUUCAUGGUUUACGGACUCAGUCUUGUGGAUUUUUUACAGUACAGUGUGCCCACGUUCCACCUGGAGUGUAACACUUCAGCUACCUGUUCACUGUUACAGUACUGUGUGGAGAUGCUAACUGCUAACAGUUUAGCUCUCGCCUUUUUUAAAGUUCUUGCCACAUUAAGAUGCCACCCAAAUGCGCUGCACCUUUUAAGACUUCCUCCAGUAAAUCGAAGCAUAAGAAGGUUUCAAAGAUGCUCCAGGAGGAGGUUGAAUUACUUAGAAAAAACUAAAUUAUUACGGCAUUGAGGAAAUUUGGAAGAUGUGUAGGCGGGACAUUGGAAUAUGUGUAGGCAGGACUUUAGAAGAUGUGUAGGCGGGACGUUGGAAGAUGUGUAGGCGGGACUUUAGAAUAUGUGUAGGCAGGACUUUAGAAGAUGUGUAGGCGGGACAUUGGAAGAUGUGUAGGCAGGACUUUAGAAGAUGUGUAGGCGGGACGUUGGAAGAUGUGUAGGCGGGACUUUAGAAGAUGUGUAGGCGGGACUUUAGAAGAUGUGUAGGCGGGACUUUAGAAGAUGUGUAGGCGGGACGUUGGAAGAUGUGUAGGCGGGACUUUAGAAUAUGUGUAGGCAGGACUUUAGAAGAUGUGUAGGCGGGACGUUGGAAGACGUGUAGGCGGGACUUUGAAGGCAGUGUGGGCGGGACGUUGGAAGAUGUGUAGGCGGGACUUUAGAAGAUGUGUAGGCGGGACUUUAGAAGAUGUGUAGGCGGGACUUUAGAAGAUGUGUAGGCGGGACUUUAGAAGAUGUGUAGGCGGGACUUUAGAAGAUGUGUAGGCGGGACUUUAGAAUAUGUGUAGGCGGGACUUUAGAAGAUGUGUAGGAGGGACGUUGGAAGAUGUGUAGGCGGGACUCUGAAGGCAGUGUGGGCGGGACUUUUGGAAGAUGUGUAGGCGGGACUUUAGCAUAUCUACUCUGGAAUGGGCAGACCCUGGUUUCAGAAACAAACUCGUCCAUCUUUAUUUCUAUCAG